UCGAGCGGCAGCGCGGGGGCAACCCUGGCGGCGAGCGGCGAACGGGUGAGUAACAUAUCGGAACGUACCCAGUAAUGGGGGAUAACUACCCGAAAGGGUAGCUAAUACCGCAUACGCCCUGAGGGGGAAAGCGGGGGAUCGGAAACGACCUCGCGUUAUUGGAGCGGCCGAUAUCGGAUUAGCUAGUUGGUGGGGUAAAGGCUCACCAAGGCGACGAUCCGUAGCUGGUCUGAGAGGACGACCAGCCACACUGGAACUGAGACACGGUCCAGACUCCUACGGGAGGCAGCAGUGGGGAAUUUUGGACAAUGGGGGCAACCCUGAUCCAGCCAUUCCGCGUGAGUGAAGAAGGCCUUCGGGUUGUAAAGCUCUUUCGGCAGGAACGAAACGGCGGGCUCUAACAUAGCCUGUCACUGACGGUACCUGAAUAAGAAGCACCGGCUAACUACGUGCCAGCAGCCGCGGUAAUACGUAGGGUGCGAGCGUUAAUCGGAAUUACUGGGCGUAAAGCGUGCGCAGGCGGUUCUAUAAGACAGAUGUGAAAUCCCCGGGCUUAACCUGGGAACUGCGUUUGUGACUGUAGGACUCGAGUGUGGCAGAGGGGGGUGGAAUUCCACGUGUAGCAGUGAAAUGCGUAGAGAUGUGGAGGAACACCGAUGGCGAAGGCAGCCCCCUGGGUUAACACUGACGCUCAUGCACG
rnacentral:rRNA from 1 species